GAUGAACGCUGGCGGCGUGCCUAAUACAUGCAAGUCGAGCGAACGGACGAGAAGCUUGCUUCUCUGAUGUUAGCGGCGGACGGGUGAGUAACACGUGGAUAACCUACCUAUAAGACUGGGAUCACUUCGGGAAACCGGAGCUAAUACCGGAUAAUAUUUUGAACCGCAUGGUUCAAAAGUGAAAGACGGUCUUGCUGUCACUUAUAGCUGGAUCCGCGCUGCAUUAGCUAGUUGGUAAGGUAACGGCUUACCAAGGCAACGAUGCAUAGCCGACCUGAGAGGGUGAUCGGCCACACUGGUACUGAGACACGGUCCAGACUCCUACGGGAGGCAGCAGUAGGGAAUCUUCCGCAAUGGGCGAAAGCCUGACGGAGCAACGCCGCGUGAGUGAUGAAGGUCUUCUGAUAGUAAAACUCUGUUAUUAGGGAAGAACAUAUGUGUAAGUGACUGUGCACAGCUUGACGGUACCUAAUCAGAAAGCCACGGCUAACUACGUG
rnacentral:rRNA from 1 species